AAGUCGUAACAAGGUUUCCGUAGGUGAACCUGCGGAAGGAUCAUUAUCGUAUAAACAGGAGGUGCUGAGGUUGUCGCUGACUGGGUGAAACCCCCCUUAGGUCGUGCACGCCUCGAGCAUUCUUACUCCUCAUCCACCUCUCUCACCCCCCUUGUGCAUCCCCGCGUGGGCUUUUCCUCUUCUUCCACAAGAGAGAGAGAGCCGGCGUCCUUUACACGAACACAUAAAAGCAGUGUAGAAUGUUCUUUUGCAUUUUGUUAUGCAGUUAAUACAACUUUCAACAACGGAUCUCUUGGCUCUCGCAUCGAUGAAGGACGCAGCGAAAUGCGAUAUGUAAUGUGAAUUGCAGAAUUCAGUGAAUCAUCGAAUCUUUGAACGCACCUUGCGCCCCUUGGUAUUCCGAAGGGCACACCCGUUUGAGUGUCGUGAAGUUCUCAACCCUUCUUCAUUUGAAGAAAAGGCUUGGACUUUGGAGGCUUUUGCUGGACUCCUUCUUGACGGAGAUCGGCUCCUCUUAAAUGGAUUAGUAGGAACCCUUCUGUGCCUGGUCCUUGACGUUGAUAAGGCUUUUUCUACGUCUGGGGCUUUUUAAGCCACACGAGGCCUGCUUCCAAUCGUCUCUCCCUCUUGAGACAAUUAUUGAACCCCUUUGACCUCAAAUCGGGUGAGACUACCCGCUGAACUUAA
rnacentral:rRNA from 1 species